rnacentral:rRNA from 1 species
AGACACGGUCCAGACUCCUACGGGAGGCAGCAGUAGGGAAUCUUCCGCAAUGGGCGAAAGCCUGACGGAGCAACGCCGCGUGAGUGAUGAAGGUCUUCGGAUCGUAAAACUCUGUUAUUAGGGAAGAACAAAUGUGUAAGUAACUAUGCACGUCUUGACGGCACCUAAUCAGAAAGCCACGGCUAACUACGUGCCAGCAGCCGCGGUAAUACGUAGGUGGCAAGCGUUAUCCGGAAUUAUUGGGCGUAAAGCGCGCGUAGCCGGUUUUUUAAGUCUGAUGUGAAAGCCCACGGCUUCAACCGUGGAGGGUCAUUGGAAACUGGAAAACUUGAGUGCAGAAGAGGAAAGUGGAAUUCCAUGUGUAGCGGUGAAAUGCGCAGAGAUAUGGAGGAACACCAGUGGCGAAGUCGACUUUCUGGUCUGUAACUGACGCUGAUGUGCGAAAGCGUGGGGAUCAAACAGGAUUAGAUACCCUGGUAGUCCACGCCGUAAAC